CGGAGCGGCGAUAGCACGUUGAAUACACCAGUUUCCAACAGAUCACUGAAGUUAAGCUGCGUUGCACGUGGUUAGUAACUUAGUAUCCGAAUAGGUGACCAUCUCGAAAAUCGCAUGCUGCUUAGG
rfam:Asian citrus Psyllid, Diaphorina citri - Florida Strain, whole genome shotgun sequence.